UCAACGCUGGCGGCAGGCUAACACAUGCAAGUCGAGCGAGAAAGCACUUCGGUGUGAGUACAGCGGGGACGGGUGAGUACGCGUAGGAAUCUACCCAGUAGUGGGGGACAACUUGGGGAAACCCAAGCUAAUACCGCAUACGCUCUACGGGGGAAAGCGGGGGAUCUUCGGACCUCGCGCUAUUGGAUGAGCCUGCGUCGGAUUAGCUAGUUGGUGGGGUAAAGGCCCACCAAGGCGACGAUCCGUAGCUGGUCUGAGAGGAUGAUCAGCCACACUGGGACUGAGACACGGCCCAGACUCCUACGGGAGGCAGCAGUGGGGAAUAUUGCGCAAUGGGGGGCAACCCUGACGCAGCCAUGCCGCGUGUGUGAAGAAGGCCCUAGGGUUGUAAAGCACUUUCAAUAGAGAGGAAAAGUUCGUAGUUAAUAACUGCGAGCCCUGACGUUACCUAUAGAAGAAGCACCGGCUAACUCC
rnacentral:rRNA from 1 species